UCGUCACAACUCAGGACGGUGAAGGAUCCGGGCAUUCCGGGUUAUCUUUGAUCCGUUUCUUGCGUAAAAAUGUGGUCCUUCACCCAAAAUCCUCUUCCCGAGCCGUAGCAGAUUCUUCAACGCGGACUUUUCUUUGGACAGAAUUGUUCCUGCUGCUUCUUAUGAGAGAGCUGCCCCCAGUAUGAUUUGGAAUCGGCAAAUGUCCGGUAGCUGGUGGCGGCCGCCGCCUAUCAGAAAUAAGGCCUCGCUCCAGCACAACGAUGACCAGCACCGCAGUCGGUUGAUGGCAACGUCGCGAUGACCAGGCCGUUGCUGGGAAACCUGCUGCAGAAUGAGAGCGACAGUUCACAUAAGUCCGGCAGCUGAAGAACCAAAAUCCCAGGAUCCAGGAUCCGGAAAAGGACCAGCUGCCUGAUGCAAAUCAACUGGAGAAACUCCGCGAAACGACUAGAUUCUGCCAGCCAAAAAGGAUGGAGUGUCGAAACCGAAGGUCGUGGAGCUGCGGGGAAGGCCGAUCUGUCAACUCGCGGUUGCCCCAAUGAGCGAGGUCGAGUGGAAGUCAUGCAGAUGACGAAGAUUGGAGCCGACGUUUCUACGAGCAGAUUCCUCCGGAACGUUCCCGAGACGGUAGCGCAUCACUUUGGUCACUACUUUCAUUGUAAAAUCUUUUUAUGACAUUAAAACUAACUAUGGGGUUAAUGUGGUUUG